CAAUAUUAAGCGUGGUAAUGUGCACAUAAAUUGAUUUGGGUCUCUAGGUCAGCCCUCUUUGAUGCCUUUCGGCUUUGAUUUGGGGGCAUGGUUCCACAGCAAAACG